rnacentral:rRNA from 1 species
CUAGGUCCCAGUUCAGAUUGCAGGCUGCAACCCGCCUGCAUGAAGUCGGAAUUGCUAGUAAUCGCGGAUCAGCAUGCCGCGGUGAAUACGUUCCCGGGCCUUGUACACACCGCCCGUCACACCAUGGGAGCCGGUAAUACCCGAAGUCAGUAGUCCAACCACGUGAGGACGCUGCCGAAGGUAGGAUUGGCGACUGGGGUGAAGUCGUAACAAGGUAAC